rnacentral:lncRNA from 1 species
CUACAGGCAAAGCAGACAGAAGGUUCAACAUAUCUUCACUAAUCUUCAGUAAUUGCAAAUAACAGCCCCAAACGGAUGUCAGGGAUAAUUAUUGACUAGGAUUGGCCACACUGUACCAGGAACUUCACUUCAGCUUCUGAGAGGCAACGAAGAGCAGCAGCAAUAGCCUAUGCUAAUUCGGGAAUCUCUUGGAUUUCAUUGACCAACAACUCAAAAGAAGGUUUACAUACCCGGUACUGAGAUUUUUGUGAGAUAAUCUAUGGCUUUAAGUGGGAGG